CCAAAUAAAUGUGGGCUAACAGUCUUUGGGGGGCUAGAACAACCCUUUUGGUCUAAUGAGGUCCGGGUAAGCACUGAUAGGCUUGCAGGGAAUAAAACCUGCAGUUUGGGAGAACAGAGGGACAUUUGGGAGCGAGAUGGCGAAAGGGGCGGCAGUUACAUACCUUCUUGGAGUGCUGCUCCUGGCGCAGUGGAAGCCCUCGCUGGAAGGAGGCAUUUACAUACCAGCCGGAGGAGCAGGCGGAGUUGGUGUUGGUACUGGUGUCAGUCCUGGAACUGGCUUUGGUCCUGGAGGGGCAGGGACAGGAUAUGGACCAGGAGGAGCUGGUGCUGGUUUAGGGGGUCUUGGUCCUGUAACUGGAGGAGGUGGAGUUGGACCAGGGGGUAUUGGUCCAGGUGGUGCUGGUGGUGUGGGAGGUUUUAUUCCAGGAUCCUAUGGUCCAGGUGUUGGAGCUGGUGGAGUGGGGCCUGGUGGAGUAGGGCCUGGUGGAGUAGGCCCUGGUGGAGUAGGGCCUGGUGGAGUGGGGCCUGGUGGAGUGAGGCCUGGUGGAGUGGGGCCUGGUGGAGUGGGGCCUGGUGGAGUAGGGCCUGGUGGAGUAGGCCCUGGUGGAGUGGGGCCUGGUGGAGUAGGCCCUGGUGGAGUAGGCCCUGGUGGAGUGGGGCCUGGUGGAGUAGGGCCUGGUGGUGAAGGAGUCAGACCUGGAACCUAUGGACCUGGUGGAGUUGGCACAGGACAAUACCCUGGUGGAGUCAAACCUUUUAAAACAGGACCAGGCGUUGGACCAGGCGGGACAGGCUUUGGACCUGGAGGUUCAGGAGCUGGACUUGGAGGGGGAGGGGUACGACCAGAUGGGGUAGGAGUUGGACCUGGUGG
ensembl:lncRNA